rnacentral:rRNA from 1 species
ACGAACGCUGGCGGCGUGCUUAACACAUGCAAGUCGAACGGAAAGGCCCUGCUUUUGUGGGGUGCUCGAGUGGCGAACGGGUGAGUAACACGUGAGUAACCUGCCCUUGACUUUGGGAUAACUUCAGGAAACUGGGGCUAAUACCGGAUAGGAGCUCCUGCUGCAUGGUGGGGGUUGGAAAGUUUCGGCGGUUGGGGAUGGACUCGCGGCUUAUCAGCUUGUUGGUGGGGUAGUGGCUUACCAAGGCUUUGACGGGUAGCCGGCCUGAGAGGGUGACCGGCCACAUUGGGACUGAGAUACGGCCCAGACUCCUACGGGAGGCAGCAGUGGGGAAUAUUGCACAAUGGGCGGAAGCCUGAUGCAGCAACGCCGCGUGCGGGAUGACGGCCUUCGGGUUGUAAACCGCUUUCGCUCAUGACGAAGCUUUGUGUGACGGUAGUGGGUAAAGAAGCACCGGCUAACUACGUG